rnacentral:rRNA from 1 species
AAUGAACGCUGGCGGCGUGGUUAAGACAUGCAAGUCGAACGGUUUUUCAGGUGUAGCAAUACACUUGAAAAGCAGUGGCGAACGGGUGCGUAACACGUGAACAAUCUACCUUUUAGUGUGGAAUAGCUCGGCGAAAGCCGGAUUAAUACCGCAUGUGGUUGCUGCUCGCAUGAGCGGCAUACUAAAGUCAGGGACCGCAAGGCCUGACGCUAUUAGAGGAGUUCGCGGCCUAUCAGCUAGUUGGCGAGGUAACGGCUCACCAAGGCUAAGACGGGGAGCUGAUCUGAGAGGAUGGUCAGCCACACUGGAACUGAGACACGGUCCAGACACCUACGGGUGGAAGCAGUUUCGAAUCAUUCACAAUGGGCGAAAGCCUGAUGGUGCGACGCCGCGUGAGGGAUGAAGGUCUUCGGAUUGUAAACCUCUGUCACCGGGGAAGAAACGCUUCAAGUUAACAGCUUGAAGCCUGACUUAACCCGGAGAGGAAGCAGUGGCUAACUCUGUGCCAGCCGCCGCAGUAAUAC